rnacentral:rRNA from 1 species
UACGUAGGUGGCGAGCGUUGUCCGGAUUUACUGGGCGUAAAGAGCGCGCAGGCGGUCGAGCAAGUCGAGUGUGAAAGCCCCCGGCUCAACUGGGGAGGGUCAUUCGAUACUGCUCGACUCGAAGGCGGGAGAGGGAAGUGGAAUUCCCGGUGUAGUGGUGAAAUGCGUAGAUAUCGGGAGGAACACCAGUGGCGAAGGCGACUUCCUGGCCCGUUCUUGACGCUGAGGCGCGAAAGCUAGGGGAGCAAACGGG